rnacentral:rRNA from 1 species
AACGAACGCUGGCGGCAUGCCUAACACAUGCAAGUCGAACGAUACCUUCGGGUCUAGUUGCGCACGUGUGCGUAACGCGUGGGAACCUGCCCUUAGGUUCGGAAUAACUCCCCGAAAGGGGUGCUAAUACCGGAUAAUUUCUUCGGACCAAAGAUUUAUCGCCUUUGGAUGGGCCCGCGUUGGAUUAGCUAGUUGGUAGGGUAAAAGCCUACCAAGGCGACGAUCCAUAGCUGGUCUGAGAGGAUGAUCAGCCACACUGGGACUGAGACACGGCCCAGACUCCUACGGGAGGCAGCAGUGGGGAAUAUUGGACAAUGGGCGAAAGCCUGAUCCAGCAAUGCCGCGUGAGUGAUGAAGGCCUUAGGGUUGUAAAGCUCUUUUACCCGGGAUGAUAAUGACAGUACCGGGAGAAUAAGCUCCGACUAACUCCGUG